rnacentral:rRNA from 1 species
UACGUAGGGACCAAGCGUUGUUCGGAUUUACUGGGCGUAAAGGGCGCGUAGGCGGCAAAUUAAGUCAGCUGUGAAAUCUCCGAGCUUAACUCGGAACUGUCAGCUGAUACUGAUGUGCUAGAGUGCGGAAGGGGCAAUCGGAAUUCUUGGUGUAGCGGUGAAAUGCGUAGAUAUCAGGAAGAACACCCGUGGCGAAGGCGGUUCUCUGGGACGGUACUGACGCUGAGACGCGAAAGCGUGGGGAGCGAACAGG